rnacentral:tRNA from 2 species
CGGGCCAUUUCUGUUAGUUGAGUUUUCAUUUACGCUGAAUUGUUGUGCCGUGCGAGUCGGCAUGGUCCGA